CCUACGGGUGGCAGCAGUGGGGAAUAUUGGGCAAUGGAGGCAACUCUGACCCAGCAACGCCGCGUGAGAGAUGAAGGUCUUCGGAUUGUAAAGCUCUUUAAGCGGGGACGAAGAAAGUGACUGUACCCGCAGAAUAAGCAUCGGCUAACUACGUGCCAGCAGCCGCGGUAAUACGUAGGCGGCAAGCGUUAUCCGGAAGGACUGGGCGUAAAGGGUGCGUAGGUGGUUUGGCAAGUCGGUCGCGUAAUCCCUGGGCUCAACCUCGGUGCUACUACCAAAACUGUUGAACUUGAGUGCAGGAGAGGUGAAUGGAAUUCCCAGUGUAGCGGUGGAAUGCUUAGAUAUUACACAGAACACCGAUUGCGAAGGCAGCUUGCUGGGCCGGAUCUGACACUGAUGCACGAAAGCGUGGGGAUCGAACAGGAUUAGAUACCCUAGUAGUC
rnacentral:rRNA from 1 species